rnacentral:rRNA from 1 species
AUUGAACGCUGGCGGAAUGCUUUACACAUGCAAGUCGAACGAUGAAGCCUAGCUUGCUAGGUCGAUUAGUGGCGAACGGGUGAGUAAUAUAUCGGAACGUAUCCAAUAAUGGGGGAUAACUAGUCGAAAGAUUGGCUAAUACCGCAUACGUCCUACGGGAGAAAGCUGGGGAUCGUAAGACCUGGCGUUAAUGGAGCGGCCGAUAUCUGAUUAGCUAGUUGGUGAGGUAAAGGCUCACCAAGGCGACGAUCAGUAGCUGGUCUGAGAGGACGACCAGCCACACUGGAACUGAGACACGGGCCAGACUCCUACGGGAGGCAGCAGUGGGGAAUUUUGGACAAUGGGCGAAAGCCUGAUCCAGCCAUUCCGCGUGAGUGAAGAAGGCCUUCGGGUUGUAAAGCUCUUUCGCAAGGGAAGAACACUUACUUAAUAACACUAAGUGAGGUUGACGGUACCUUGAUAAGAAGCACCGGCUAACUACGUGCCAGCCGCCGCCGUAAAAC